UCUGUGCACUUUUAGUGAAGCAAAUAGUCCUCUAGCUAGCUAGCUAACUUGGUCUUGUAUUGAUGGUAUCACGCAGAUUGGUUCUUAUUUCUGUCAUUCAUUUAUUAUCUAGCUAGCUAGCAUUUCCAUUGAACUGAAUCUAUGUAAUGGACCUUGCUAACUUGUUCUCCCUCCAUGGACUUGCAGCCUCUUCCAUGCUCAACCACCAUCAGCCUCCUUAACCCUGACCGAAGAGCUGGCCUUUUCCCCGAGGCCUGCUGCUUGGAUUCUUGUUGGGGUGGACGAGUUGCCUCCAUCUUGGGAUCCAGUUGUCACGCCUAAAUUCGUUUUAGUGCCGAGAUGAACUCCGAGAUUAUCGAUCGAAUUAGGAAGAGGAGAAGCGAGGAUGAUGAAGAUAUGAUGUCCUUUAUUCUGCCCGUAUUGCAUCGAAUGCGUAGUAGAGGGCCAAUCGAGAGAACUCAGUGACAUAGCUCCAUCUUAUAUGGCAAGAAGCGGGUUGAUGAUAUCCUUAGAGGCCAUGUGAAGAAUUGCCUAGUAGCUUAUAGGAUGGAGCCACGUAUC